rnacentral:rRNA from 1 species
CCUACGGGGGGCAGCAGUGAGGAAUAUUGGUCAAUGGACGAGAGUCUGAACCAGCCAAGUAGCGUGAAGGAUGACUGCCCUAUGGGUUGUAAACUUCUUUUAUAUGGGAAUAAAAUGUUCCACGUGUGGGAUUUUGUAUGUACCAUAUGAAUAAGGAUCGGCUAACUCAGUGCCAGCAGCCGCGGUAAUACGGAGGAUCCGAGCGUUAUCCGGAUUUAUUGGGUUUAAAGGGAGCGUAGGUGGAUUGUUAAGUCAGUUGUGAAAGUUUGCGGCUCAACCGUAAAAUUGCAGUUGAAACUGGCAGUCUUGAGUACAGUAGAGGUGGGCGGAAUUCGUGGUGUAGCGGUGAAAUGCUUAGAUAUCACGAAGAACUCCGAUUGCGAAGGCAGUUCACUGGACUGCAACUGACACUGAGGCUCGAAAGUGUGGGUAUCAAACAGGAUUAGAUACCCCAGUAGUC